CAUAUAUCUAAUUUCGACAUCUUAAGGCAGCGCUGAGGCGAAUUUCUAAUCAGAUGAUCAAAAUUCAACAUUUUCUUGUUACUUUUGCGGUUUUGCAAUUCAUCACCAUGGUGAUGAAUAAUUAUAAGCAACGGCACGAAUUCAUCGGUGUAAGACAAUCGAUUACGAGUUUGCUGUAGACUUGAUAACAAACGUUAGAUUUUUAUUAUUAUUUAUUAGUAGUAGCCUACAACACGAAAAAAUGAGAAAAGUAUGAUCUUCAGAUACAGUUAGGAAUUAAUCAAGAUGGAUCAGUGAACAUCUGAACAAACGUUUGAAAUCGUGUAAAUUCUUUUUUGUUUUGUUUGCUUUAUUAAGAAGUUAAAGCAAGGCAGUGAAAAGUCAAUUGUGAGGGGAGGGACAACGUAAAUUAAUUUUGGUGAGAUCAGAUGCAGUGGUGAUGUUUGUUGAGUGACUGAUGAGUGCUCAUCUUGAUGUGGAUAUGGUAGAUGAAAAAUGUUGAAAAUUGCAUACUGUAUGCAGAUCAUGAGAUGUACCACACUGUGUGUUAUGGAAGUGCUGGGUAGUGCCCUCUUUGCUAGUACCCAUUGUGUCCUGCAAACAAAGGUGCUGAAACGUGGUUACAAGAUGCAUGACGUGUCUUCCGCGGUGUUUUACUGGAUCGCCCAACUUGGUGUUUGCGUAUAUGCCGGUCGGAGGCCUUCGUGAUUAGUUGACUACUUGGAAAGUCUUUGCAAAGUGAUCGAUCACCUCGGUUGAUACAUGUGGUCGCUGCGAUUGGAGUUCACUAAUCAUUGUAUGUUCUUAAGGGUGUUGGUGUUAUUCUGCUGCCCGAUGUUCUCUCGCGAUGCGUAAAUCGAUAUAUCUACCAUGCCUGAUGUAUGAUCGUGUAUUGCGGUUUCGUGGACGUAAAUGUAUGCUAAGACUGCUGUACAUUUAGCCAAAACGUCGUCUCUUCUCUCUUGCUAUACAUGAACAUCUGCUUCGCAACCAACCAAAGAUUAACAGGCAGACGAGAAGCUGAGCUUAUUCGUUGCAGUCCAAUGUGCAUAUGGAUUUGUUGAAGCCGGCCAGUGAAAACUCUGAUAUUGAGCUGUUGCAGUCGUUAGUGCUGGUGUUAUGAUUAUUAUCCUGACGGGUUAAAGAGCUCUAUUCUUCAAGUCUUAUAGGAGUGAUCAUGUCUGAAUCGAUACUGGAUUCUAAUGCAUGUCAUCUUAAAUUUAAUGUUUAGAUUUUCCCUGUUUUAACCUAUUUUACCAGGAUGUAGAAGUUAAGCCUGAAAAAUGCAGACCAGGAGAAGGAUAUUAUAAAUGUGGGAAUUUUAAAAUCUCUUGAAGCCAUUCAGGAUGGUGAUGAUGACUGACAAAGGAGCUGUAACCUACAAGACGUAAACUUAAGGAACUUGUUACCGGAAUUUUCCACAAACGGUAAUUUUUUAAAGGAUUGUUAGUUUUACUUAAAAGGUAUUUAAUGUUUCUUAAAUUAUCCAUUCUCUAAAACAUACCUUUUCUUGUUUGGAAUAUAUAAUCAAUUAAUUGCUUUUGAUUCAUUGAAAUUAUAAUUCCAAAAAGAAGUUUUUUAACUUAGCUAAAAGCAUCUGAAAUAUUCUUGCUGGUUUCUUUGACAAAUAUGUAUGCCUGCAAGUAUAUAAUUUUUUUUAUUUU